rnacentral:tRNA from 1 species
GGGGGUGUAGCUCAGCUGGGAGAGCGCGUGGAUCGCACCCACGAGGUCAGGGGUUCGAGCCCCCUCACCUCCACCA